GCCGCGAAAGGGUUUCGGCCGCCGGACGAUAGGAGGGAGCGAGGCGAGUUGGGGUAGCUAAAGACCGAUGGCCAGCGAGGAGGAGAGCGCCGUGAAGGAGCCUCUCGAUCUCAUAAGGCUCAGCCUCGACGAGCGCAUCUACGUCAAGUUCCGCUCCGACCGCGAGCUCCGUGGAAAGCUUCCGAUCAAUUUUCUCGCUUUAUGCUUCAGAUCGACAUCAUGUCCCAUGGCUGUUGUUUGCCCUUUUAGUUUGCAAUCAAUGCUGUUCUUCUCCCUAUUUCUUUACCAUUUUGUUACGGGUGCAGGAAUCUAGGGUUUACAUAUGUGAAUUGGACUCUUGCAUGUUGCAGGCGAAGCGUCGAAAGGAUCUGUCUUUUAUAAGUGUCAGGGUUCCUGAAUAUUUAUUCCAGUACCAUACUGGAAGUCAUGGGAUGAGAUUACACAUCUUGGUUGGUGGUAGCACCAGGCUUAUGAUCAACAUUUAAAUAUGAUACUUGGGGAUGUUGAAGAGAUAAUAACUAACGUAGAAAUUGAUGACGAGACUUAUGAAGAGAUUGUUCGGACCACCAGGCGGACCGUUCCAUUUCUUUUUGUCCGAGGCGAUGGAGUCAUACUAGUUUCUCCGCCUCUGAGGACGGCAUGACAGCCUGAUGAAGGAUGUAUUGAUGAUGCACCAUCUCUUUUUCGGUGACCAUAACUGAAAAUUAUCCACAGUAGUCACCUGUCCAUGGCACGUAUGAAUAUGUUUAGCAGGUUAAAGGAUUCUUAUUCAUAUUUCAACAGCACUCCAGUUUUAGUGGGAUCACCUGUAUUCAGUUGUGCAUCUGACAGCUCUAUUGUGGUUGUACCAAUACUAGAGUUCCGAACCAUGUUCUUGUCGGCCAGAUUUCAUAUGUUGAUUGGUCCCUGAUGUUUUUACAGCAACCAGCACAUCUUAGCUGCAGAUUCAUAAUUAGUCUAUACAAUUGCACUUGAUCUC